CAAGGGUGUUUUUUUCUUUUGGUGUUGUGAACUUGUGAUGGCGUCGUGGGCGUUUGCCCAAUCACUGACGCUAUGAGGGUGGGCGGCUGUGUGAUACACUCUGGACGCGUAUGCCGCCCUUGUCUGUGAUUCUCAUGUUGGUUGGCGCCGGGCAAGCGGCAGUUCUAUCGUUAUGCGCCUUCAGGCGAGCGUUCCCGCACCCAACCGCCGCAUCAUUGUUGUGCGGCGUAUAUGCGGUAUUUGUGCGAUGUAAUGGCCCGCGAUAAUUAGUUACACCGAGAAUGGCCCUCCUCCUUCUCAAUGCUCAAUGCUCGAUACUCAGCAGCUCAAAGGGUGACUCCAGCUCACAUUGCUCUUUUGGUGGUCAACAAUGCCCAGUUGACCUUUGUUUGUUUAAAAGGGUAGUUACCUAACUCAUGAGCCACAACACAAUCCUCGUUCCAUUUUUAACGGUAGAAAUGAGCGAUGUUGAUCUCCUGCUUACGCUCCACUGCUCAUCGCAGUUGUUGACACAGAUCUGACAUUUUUUAUCAAUCCAACCAUGGUUUUGCUGGCUAGCAACCUCAGCCCUGCCAUCACAUUCAACGACUAAUUUCGUUGCUUUUCACCACCCUAAAACUGAACAGGAAAAUGUCACGAAUCUCCAUCCCCGUUGGUUUGGAGGUUAGGUGUGUAGGAACUUAGGAAGUGACUUAAUCAACCCCACCAGGCCGCUGGAAAAUGCACUACUGAAGAGUAAGCCCUGACUGUGCAGUACUAUGUAAAGUUUUCCGUACAAUUUUUUUUGCACUACAUGGCAUGUUGGCCGUUAACCCCGCAGUGACGCCUAGCAUCCUUUCGGCAUUCUCACGGAAAAAGGGCCCCCAAUGGCUAAGCUGAAUGUGGCUGGAUGAAAAUGUUGAGACUCCCGAGAAUCCACGGGUUUGAAUUUAAUGGCUCUUGUCUCGCUGGCUGCUGCGCAGUACGCAGUAUGAUCUGGUUAUGGCCCCAUCGUAGGCGCAGUUUGUAGGAUAUUCCUUGUUGAUAUCUGGGGGCUGAGGGACGAAAAUGUGACGGCA
rnacentral:sRNA from 1 species